rfam:Deltaproteobacteria bacterium RIFCSPLOWO2_12_FTLL_60_19 rifcsplowo2_12_scaffold_8800, whole genome shotgun sequence.
CUACCUUCAUCGAGAGGUGAGGGGGAAGAAGUUGCAGAAGUCAGCCGAGGGCAUAGUAGGUCCUUUCGACCGGACCGAAGGCC